GCACAGUUUAUACCGUAGCUUGCUACACCAUAGACUGUGAGUUGCGAACGGGUGAGUAACGCGUAGGUAACCUACCUAUUAGAGGGGGAUAACUAUUGGAAACGAUAGCUAAUACCGCAUAACAGUAUGUAACACAUGUUAGAUGCUUGAAAGAUGCAAUUGCAUCGCUAGUAGAUGGACCUGCGUUGUAUUAGCUAGUAGGUAGGGUAAAGGCCUACCUAGGCAACGAUACAUAGCCGACCUGAGAGGGUGAUCGGCCACACUGGGACUGAGACACGGCCCAGACUCCUACGGGAGGCAGCAGUAGGGAAUCUUCGGCAAUGGGGGGAACCCUGACCGAGCAACGCCGCGUGAGUGAAGAAGGUUUUCGGAUCGUAAAGCUCUGUUGUUAAGGAAGAACGAGUGUGAGAAUGGAAAGUUCAUGCUGUGACGGUACUUAACCAGAAAGGGACGGCUAACUACGUGCCAGCAGCCGCGGUAAUACGUAGGUCCCGAGCGUUGUCCGGAUUUAUUGGGCGUAAAGCGAGCGCAGGCGGUUAGAAAAGUCUGAAGUGAAAGGCAGUGGCUCAACCAUUGUAGGCUUUGGAAACUGUUUAACUUGAGUGCAGAAGGGGAGAGUGGAAUUCCAUGUGUAGCGGUGAAAUGCGUAGAUAUAUGGAGGAA
rnacentral:rRNA from 1 species